UACGAAGGGGGCUAGCGUUGCUCGGAAUCACUGGGCGUAAAGCGCACGUAGGCGGAUCUUUAAGUCAGGGGUGAAAUCCUGGAGCUCAACUCUAGAACUGCCUUUGAUACUGGGGAUCUCGAGUCCGGAAGAGGUGAGUGGAACUCCGAGUGUAGAGGUGAAAUUCGUAGAUAUUCGCAGGAACACCAGUGGCGAAGGCGACUUGCUGGACUUAUGGUGACGCUGAGACGCGAAAGCGUGGGGAGCAAACAGG
rnacentral:rRNA from 1 species